AUUGAACGCUGGCGGCAUGCCUUACACAUGCAAGUCGAACGGUAACAGGUCUUCGGAUGCUGACGAGUGGCGAACGGGUGAGUAAUACAUCGGAACGUGCCCGAUCGUGGGGGAUAACGAAGCGAAAGCUUUGCUAAUACCGCAUAAGAUCUACGGAUGAAAGCAGGGGACCGCAAGGCCUUGCGCGAACGGAGCGGCCGAUGGCAGAUUAGGUAGUUGGUGGGAUAAAAGCUUACCAAGCCGACGAUCUGUAGCUGGUCUGAGAGGACGACCAGCCACACUGGGACUGAGACACGGCCCAGACUCCUACGGGAGGCAGCAGUGGGGAAUUUUGGACAAUGGGCGAAAGCCUGAUCCAGCCAUGCCGCGUGCAGGAUGAAGGCCUUCGGGUUGUAAACUGCUUUUGUACGGAACGAAAAGACUCUUUCUAAUAAAGAGGGACCAUGACGGUACCGUAAGAAUAAGCACCGGCUAACUACGUGCCAGCAGCCGCCGCAGUAA
rnacentral:rRNA from 1 species